GCCCGCCUAGCUCAAUCGGAUAGAGCGUCAGACUCUUACCACGUGCGGGUGAUUAAAUCUGAAGGCUGCGAGUUCGACCCUCGCGGUGGGCU
rnacentral:tRNA from 1 species